AACGAACGCUGGCGGCAUGCCUAACACAUGCAAGUCGAAGGGGACCUUCGGGUCGCGCCAUGCUAGGCUGCGUAACGGGUGGGAAAACACCCUUAGAAUCUGCCUACCUGCCCGAGAUAGGAGCUAAAACCGGCUAAUGACACCGGACAAAGGCUUUAUCGGCGUUGGAUGUGGCAGCGUUGGAGUAGCUAGUUGGUAGGGUAAAAGCCUACCAAGGAGACGAUCGAUAGCUGGGCUGGGAGGGAGAGCAGCCACACUGGGACUGAGACACGGCUCAGACUACGACGGGAGGCAGUGGUGAAGAAUAGACGACAAGGGGCGAAAGGCUGAUCCAGCAAUGCCUCGUGGAUGAUGAAUGCCGGAUUGUAAUAAGCUUCUAGCACCCGAGAUGAUAGUGACAGUACCUGCAGAAGAAGCUACGGCUAACUCCGUG
rnacentral:rRNA from 1 species